rnacentral:rRNA from 1 species
CUACGGGCUGCACCAGUGGGGAAUUUUGGACAAUGGGGGCAACCCUGAUCCAGCAACGCCGCGUGAAGGAUGAAGGUCUUCGGAUUGUAAACUUCUUUUGCAGGGGACGAAUGAACGCGUGAAUAACGCGGAAUGACGGUACUCUGCGAAUAAGCCACGGCUAACUACGUGCCAGCAGCCGCGGUAAUACGUAGGUGGCAAGCGUUACUCGGAAUUACUAGGCGUAAAGCGCAGGUAGGUUGUUAGGUAAGUCCGUAAUGAAAUCUCCCGGCUUAACUGGGGGGGGUUUGGGGAUACUGGCUGACUCGAGUUUGGGAGAGGUGACUGGAAUUCCUGGUGUAGCGGUGAAAUGCGUAGAGAUCAGGAGGAACACCUAUGGCGAAAGCAGGUCACUGGCCCAAUACUAACGCUGAGCUGCGAAAGCUAGGGGAGCAAACAGGAUUAGAUACCCUUGUAGUC